UUCCAUGGCAAACUGCUCAGUAACAAGUGAUCAACUUACCCUAUAGAGAAAAAUAACCUCGGGAAACUGAGGAUAAUAUUUCAUAGUUGAAUCGGCUUGGAAAAGUUUUUCAAUCAAAGGGAUAAGAAAAAUGGUUCUUAUCUGCUAUAGGUUAGGAUCGUGGACGAUUAUGGUUGUUGGUGAGGUAAUGGCUCACCAAGCCGAUAAUCGAUAGGGGCCGUGAGAGCGGGAGCCCCGAGAUGGGUACUGAGACAACGACCCAGGCCUUACGAGGCGCAGCAGGCGCGGAACCUCCGCAAUACACGGAAGUGUGACGGGGUUACCCAAAGUGUUCAAUUCUGAACUGUGGUGGGUGAGUAAUGUUCCCCACUAGAAAGGAGAGGGCAAGGCUGGUGCCAGCCGCCGCGGUAAAACCAGCUCUUCAAGUGGUCGGGAUAAUUAUUGGGCUUAAAGUGUCCGUAGCCGGUUUAGUUAGUUCCUGGUAAAAUCGGGUAGCUUAACUAUCGUAUGCUAGGAAUACUGCUUACUAGAGGACGGGAGAGGUCUGAGGUACUACAGGGUAGGGGUGAAUCUUAUAAUCCUUGUAGACACCAGUGGCGAAGCCUCAGACUGAACGUGCCUGACGGUGAGGACGAAAGCCAGGGAGCGAACC
rnacentral:rRNA from 1 species